GAUAAAGCCAGAUCUCAGCAGUCAAGGUCAAGUGAACGAGAUGGUCCGCUUGUAGUAUGCCAAAACCCCUCGCCGCCGGCUGACAGACCUGGCUUACCGCCCUCGUGAGCCCCCCAGAAGUAUUAAGGGACUCUGCGACGAAGCCUUUAGCUUUUCCAUGUGAAGGUACCGUCCGGGAAGCCUUCGGCAACGGCCGAGGACUUGCAGUAUACCCUGCGAGGAUGGCGAUGGCGUUGGCCUCAGAGCUUGGCCAAAGUGUGCGGCCCGAGGACCGCGGCCUUCUUAGGAGACGCUGACCAAGAGAUAACCAGCCCGAUGAAGACAUGAGGUUCCCGCCUGGCGAGGUGGCCUUCUUUUGCACCCGAGGCAGACUGAUAUCCUCAGACAUCCAGGAGAUAAGUCGAGGCCUGCGACCCACAGAGGGGGUGAAAGCGGGGUGUCGAGUUGGGACUCACCG